GUCCACAAGAUUGGUCUCAAAAAGUAAACCGUAAAAUGUAUCGCGGUGCAAUGCAAUGUAUCUUAGCUGAACUUGUUCGCCAAGAUCGCCUUGUUUUAGUUGAAGAGUUCGCUGU
rnacentral:rRNA from 1 species